CACCUGGUUGAUCCUGCCAGUAGUCAUAUGCUUGUCUCAAAGAUUAAGCCAUGCAUGUCUAAGUAUAAGCUUUAAACGGCGAAACUGCGAAUGGCUCAUUAAAACAGUUAUAGUUUAUUUGGUGAUCGAUUACUAUUUGGAUAACCGUAGUAAUUCUAGAGCUAAUACAUGCGUCAAGGCCCGACUUCGGAAGGGCUGCGUUUAUUAGAUACAGAACCAACCUAGGCUCCGCCUAGUCCUUGUUGGUGAUUCAUAAUAACCCGGCGAAUCGCACGGCUUGUCCGGCGAUGGACCAUUCAAGUUUCUGACCUAUCAGCUAUGGACGGUAGGGUAUUGGCCUACCGUGGCGUUGACGGGUAACGGGGAAUUAGGGUUCGAUUCCGGAGAGGGAGCCUGAGAAACGGCUACCACAUCUAAGGAAGGCAGCAGGCGCGCAAAUUACCCAAUCCUGAUACAGGGAGGUAGUGACAAGAAAUAACAAUACAGGGCAAUUCUGUCUUGUAAUUGGAAUGAGUAGAUUUUAAAUCUCUUUACGAGUAUCAAUUGGAGGGCAAGUCUGGUGCCAGCAGCCGCGGUAAUUCCAGCUCCAAUAGCGUAUAUUAAAGUUGUUGCGGUUAAAAAGCUCGUAGUUGGAUUUCUGCCUUGGGCGACCGAUCCACCUUUCCUACGGGAUUGGUUGGUAUCAGGUUUGACCUUGGCUUUUUCUUGGGAUUCGUGCUCACGUACUUAACUGUGCGUUGACCGUGUUCCAAGACUUUUACUUUGAGGAAAUUAGAGUGUUUCAAGCAGGCUUAUGCCAUGAAUACAUUAGCAUGGAAUAAUAGGAUAUGACUUCGGUCAUAUUUUGUUGGUUUCUAGGACUGAAGUA
rnacentral:ncRNA from 1 species